UACAGAGGUCUCAAGCGUUGUUCGGAUUCAUUGGGCGUAAAGGGUGUGUAGGUGGCGCCGUAAGUCGGGUGUGAAAUCUCGGGGCUUAACUCCGAAACUGCAUUCGAUACUGCGGUGCUUGAGGACUGGAGAGGAGACUGGAAUUCAUGGUGUAGCAGUGAAAUGCGUAGAUAUCUGGAGGAACACCGGUGGCGAAGGCGGCAUUCUGGACCGAUAUUGACGCUGAGGAGCGAAAGCCAGGGGAGCAAACGGG
rnacentral:rRNA from 1 species